rnacentral:rRNA from 1 species
UACAGAGGGUGCGAGCGUUAAUCGGAUUUACUGGGCGUAAAGGGCGCGUAGGCGGUUAUGUAAGUGAGAUGUGAAAUCCCUGGGCUUAACCUAGGAACUGCAUCUCAUACUGCGUAGCUAGAGUAUUGUAGAGGGUAGUGGAAUUUCCGGUGUAGCGGUGAAAUGCGUAGAGAUCGGAAGGAACACCAGUGGCGAAGGCGGCUACCUGGACAAAUACUGACGCUGAUGCGCGACAGCGUGGGGAUCAAACAGG